UCUGCAGCAAAACUCUUUGCAGAAGCAGGGAAGGUGAAUGGAAGCCUGCAGACUCUGGUAUUUUGCAUAGAAAUAUUCUUUUUCCAGACCACAGUUCAAUUCCUUUCCAGGUGACUAAUAACUUAAAAGUGCUAAUUACGGUGCAGGGGUUAGUAAUGUAUACCAAACAGCUGUGUCCCUCUGCUGUUCCUGAUGAACAAAGUCAUCAAAACAGGUCGCCAACUGACCCCUGCAGCAGCCACGGAGAGAGGGAGUUACGAUCUUUUGCCAUAAGACUCCUAAGCAAGUUGGCAGAGAUGGGUAGAACUUAAAUUUUGGGUUCCCACUGUUGAGUACACCGCACAUCUGAAAAACUCCAUCCGUGGGCAGCAGGCUUGGAUGGCUCAGGUACCUCAGGCGUCAUGUCCAUGAUCCACUGCAGACAACCACCAUUUGCUGUCCAACCCAGGCAACGUGUGUGCAUGUCCAUUUCUUUGAAGUCAGCCUCUCUGUGGUGCUGUUUAGAAGCUGGCAAGACCUCUUGGGUGCACCUGUGCAUCCAAAUGAAAGUCAUUUGCUGAAUCUGCACUGCACUGACUAAAGCUGUGUUGUCUAAAUUUAAUGUGGAUGGCUUAAGAGGAGCAGCAUCUUAUGCAGCUGUCCCUGCCUUGUAGGACAAGCCUUCUAGGAGGGAAAGGUGAGAGCGAGAACCAUUUCGGGUGUCUGAUCCUCAUCUGCCACACAACAUGGUGACUCAGAUGGACCAACAGAAGUGACUCCUGGAGGGACAGAUGAUAAGAUGAUUACUACAUGUGGUUUUGUCCCCUGAGACAGAGAGAUGUUUAAACACCUAAGUAAUAACUCCUGAGCCACCACAGGUCACAGUGAUGUUUCAAGAAAAUCAAAGUCACUGAUGGUUUCUGAUAGAUAACCUGGCUAGAAGAGCUAAACAGAAUCCAGUGAGGUUAAUCACAGAUUAAUUCCCUUAAGCUGGCUGUCUUGGGCACUAGUGACAGCAAACUGUGAGCCUGUCGCUGCCAGCACUGGGCUGCACGCAUGUAUACCUGGCCAUCGCUGUGAGAAAUGUCAAAACCACAUAGAUGUGAAAUGGAAAAGCUAUUUAAGUUCUAACCAAUUUCUUACAGAAUUAUGCCAAAAGUUAAUGUGUCAAGUUUAUAAAAUCAGAUUAAAAGCAUCCAUAUUGUGCUUUGUUCCUGCUUAAGUAUGUCGGUAACUGCUCUGGGAAAGCAAUGCAGUGUUGAAUAUCUUUCUGUAGUAAUUACAAAUGAGUUUGAAAAUGUAGAGGGGGAGAUGAAAUACUAAAGGCCAAAUCUAAUAAAGAAUUACAGUGCUGCAACACCUACCUUGCAGUCAUCUGGUGCCCAUAUGGGAUUCAGAACACUGUUAGACACCUAGUCACCAUUUAGAGGAGCCUACGUAUAUGGGACAGGCUGAUCUUCUCAAAACAGGAGCCAAAAUAGCCAACUUCCUGAGAGAGAAACUGCCUGAAAUCUGUGCAUUUGGAUGUCUCUGAUUUGAUCUAUCUGGUUAACACUAUGAGCAAGGACACAUGCGAGACUGUACACCUUGGCCAUCUGACUCAGGCUGUCAGAGGAUAUUCAGCCAUGCACUUCUCUACCUGGGUAUCCCACCACAUUCCCACUUCCUGGUUGGGCCCCCCAGAUCUUUUGAAAUAUCAGAGGCAGAGAAGGCCUUUGUUGCCUCUUCAUAACACUUUAGUGGCCUGACUACAUAUUCAGGAAGAUACCAGUUUAAUCUCCCUUCCCCUUCCUUCCCAUACUGAAGCUGUUCCCCUGCAUCAGAAAUAACUUGAAAGCAGGAAAAUCAGUAGGAAGGACUUCAGUCCUGCAACGUGCUGCCUGGCAGUAGUGUGAGGGGAAUAUCAAUGCACGCUGUGUAUGAACAGGGACCUACUUCAGUGCUUCUUAACUGCAGCGAUAUGGACACGGUCUCCUUGCAAACAAUUUCUGAAAUUGCUCCUGCACAGUGACACAAUAGUAACAGAGCUGUGGGGAUCCCCCUCUUCAGACCACCCAGUGAUAGUUUAGCUGCUCCUACAGGAUGGCAGGCACAUUUGGAUGUUCUUUCAUAGGUGCAGGAACUAAAUCUGGCUGUCAAUAGUUGGGUCCUUUAAUGACUGCCUAAAAAUAGCCCACUAACUUCAUUAAUGUUUUAAAAAUUCAGGAUACUUAGACCUUCUUAAGAACAGAUAUGAUCCAACAUUUGGUUUUAUUCUGGAAAGCCCAACAGGAAAACCCCAGGGAAGGGGAGAGGUCCAAUAGAGGGACUGGGGUGUCCUGGUGCCUGUCCAAGUUUGCUUACGAGGAGCUGAAAGCACUGUGUGUGUGUGUGUAAGCUUUUUCAGGGUUACAGUUCUGUCUCCCUUGCUUUAUUGUUGCUUCCAUUCUACUUUGAAUCUGACCUUGUACAGUUUAUUUAGGUACACAAAUAGAGCCUGUGACAGAACAAAGAACUGAAGCCGGUCUCCCAAGUCUUGAUGUAUCUUUGGAUGUCUUUCCCUUCUGCUGAUUUCUCCUUAGCUUUGCUCACUUCUUGCUUGAGUGAAGCUUCUCUUGAUGUUUAAACUCCUGGCCAUAUACUAAUUGGAGAUCUGGAGACAGAAAACCAGCCACUAUUCCCUACAAGGAAAGCUGAUUUAAGGGAAAUAUUUCCGCAAAAGAAGUUAGAUGCUUUUGUUGGUGUUUUUCUCUUCUAAUGCCAUAAAUACUACAAUCAGGCACACAGGAUAGUGGCUGCCAGUUU